GCAAUGAUGACUUUCUCCUUACUCAUCUGAUUAUUUCUGAUGAGUAAUUCAACCUCUAAGAAGUCCUGAGCUU